rnacentral:rRNA from 1 species
GCCUAACACAUGCAAGUCGAACGAACCCUUCGGGGUUAGUGGCGCACGGGUGCGUAACGCGUGGGAACCUGCCUUUAGGUUCGGAAUAACUCAGAGAAAUUUGAGCUAAUACCGGAUAAUGUCUUCGGACCAAAGAUUUAUCGCCUUUAGAUGGGCCCGCGUUAGAUUAGAUAGUUGGUGGGGUAAUGGCCUACCAAGUCGACGAUCUAUAGCUGGUCUGAGAGGAUGAUCAGCCACACUGGGACUGAGACACGGCCCAGACUCCUACGGGAGGCAGCAGUGGGGAAUAUUGGACAAUGGGCGAAAGCCUGAUCCAGCAAUGCCGCGUGA